rnacentral:lncRNA from 1 species
AGAGGUCGUAGUUUUUUCAAUAUCCCACAGACUAGAACUCGGGGUCUUUUAAGCACCUCCAAAUGGCUAUUGUUAGAUGUGUGCCCUAGAUGCCAGAUUGGCUGACACAUUCCUGUACAAAUGUAAGGGUAAAUUUAUAAUUUUGACUAUAAAUGAAUAAAAGAGUUAUUCUACCAUCACAUUGUGUACAUUAUGUCUGUGAUACAUCCUUUGAGUUAGUAGGAAUGUUAAUUCAUAUUUUCAAGAGUUAAAAAUUUAAGGUAUGAAUUUACAUAACUAACUCAUAAACAGCUCCUGACCAUAGGAUCAUCAUGAGGAUGGCGA